ensembl:lncRNA
CGGAAAGCCUCGCGUCCUAUUGGCUGCAGGAGGGAGGACGGCGCGGGGCGGAGCGCUGAUUGGUCGCCGGGCGAUGCUGCGACCCGCCCCUCGGGGGUCGCGUGACGCCAGGUGGACGGGGGCUCGUGCCCCGGCGGGCGCUGAGGUGGUUCUGGCGGUCGGGGGGUGUUGUCGUGCUGCUCAGCACAGCUUUCGUUCCUCUGUACUCGGCGGAGUUUUUAUGCGUUGCCCUCAGGUGGGAUGAAUUUGACUGCAACAAAAGUCCACUGAGAUGCGUCAGUGUUUCUCGAAGGCUCUUAAUCUCUUAUAACUUCCUCUCCUUUUGGGGGCAGAGCUCCCAUCAGUGCGUACCGCACUGCAGCUGAUGGCGUUCACCCUCUGACACUUUGUUUCUGCUCGAUGUAACGCGAGGGUUUGGGGCGCCGCAGAACUACGUGGUUUCACGGCAUUGUUUUUAGUUUAGAUCGGCAAAUCGUUAACAAUUACUUCCUGCUCAUCCGUAUCUUCGGAGUCUGGGGACGAGAUCCUUCCUCUUGCGAUCCAUCGGCACCUGAAGGAUCUCUGAAAGGAAACCGGUGGAACGUGUGAGGGCUUCCUCUGGCGGAAAAGAACAAGACGAAAUAAGACACUAGGGAAGCUAAUGUGAGACACUAGUGCCCAAAUCACUUUAGACACGACUGAUAUGGCUGAUGAGGAACAAUGACAAGGGUCUGGCAGGCAGCAGAUCCUUUUGGUUCAGAAACUGAUUCAUACUCACAGCACAACUGAAAGGGAAAAUCACUGCAGAGCAAGGGCUGCUGGCAACCAGCCCACAGCUCGGGAGGCUGCACAGGGAUGGGAUGACACCACUGGGAGAGCUGAGAGGUGGAAGUGGCUUUUUGCAGAGGCUGCUGAAGCGAGCUAAGUGCACUGAGAUGUUUGAAGAUGUCCUCAGCCAUCUUCAGCCUGAAGCACCACUGAGACCCGCAGCUGCUGCAGAACACAAUGAAGCUACCAGAGAUGCUAAUGGAGGAGCUGAAGGGUUCAUAGGCAGAAAGCAAGGGGUGUGCUGUGGAGCCUACAACCAUGGAUUGCAGGAGUGCGUUUCUUAAAGCCAACAGAAUGGCAUCUUUUUUGAUGGGAAUAUAACAGUGGGACUUCAAAGCAUGACCAGCGCCCAGCGUUCAAAACAGCAUGCGUAAGGCCAGACACAAACUGUGAGACUAUCUUUAAGUCAUUAAAAAGAUCUAGAAUUAGUCAUAUUUGCCCUUUAUUUCUGAGCCUUUCAUGUUUCCUUGCUUUUGUGUUUUCAUUCUUUCCUUUCCCAGGAGCAGGAUACAACUUCAAGGGGGAGGAGAAACAAAGAGGACACCUGGGUUUGGGGUGCUGGGCCUCUGCGCCAUGCACCAAGAGCCACCAAGUCCAGAGAGCCAGCAGACUGUGAGACCCAGAGACUUUCAGUAAGCCUUGUGAUAUUUAAGAACAUCUCUGGAAUUCAUUAAAUUCUUACUAUUAUCUCCAACCUCACCAGUGAAUUUUAAAAUCAGCUUUGUUAUUACCUUCCUUGCACCACAGGCGUUUCAGCAGUG